rnacentral:rRNA from 1 species
UACAGAGGGGGCAAGCGUUGUUCGGAAUUACUGGGCGUAAAGGGCGCGUAGGCGGCCCGCUAAGUCGAACGUGAAAUCCCCGGGCUCAACCCGGGAACUGCGUCCGAUACUGGCGGGCUUAAAUCCGGGAGAGGGAUGCGGAAUUCCAGGUGUAGCGGUGAAAUGCGUAGAUAUCUGGAGGAACACCGGUGGCGAAGGCGGCAUCCUGGACCGGCAUUGACGCUGAGGCGCGAAAGCCAGGGGAGCAAACGGG